rnacentral:rRNA from 1 species
CAAUAGCGUAUAUUAAAGUUGUUGCAGUUAAAAAGCUCGUAGUUGGAUUUGUGGCUGUCACGGGCGGCCUAUCACUUAGUGUUAGUGCUUGCCUGUGUCGCCAUCCUUGGGUGGAGCCCGUGUGGCAUUAGGUUGUCGUGCGGGGGAUGCCCAUCGUUUACUGUGAGAAAAUUAGAGUGUUCAAAGCAGGCUUAUGCCAUUGAAUAUGUUAGCACGGAAUAAUAAGAUAGGACCUCGGUACUAUUUUGUUGGUUUGCGCACCGAGGUAAUGAUUAAUAGGGACAGUUGGGGGUAUUCGUAUUUCAUUGUCAGAGGUGAAAUUCUUGGAUUUCUGAAAGACGAACUACUGCGAAAGCAUUUACCAAGGAUGUUUUCAUUAA